rnacentral:rRNA from 1 species
CUGGCGGCGUGCCAGAUGCAUGCAAGUCGAACGGAGACGGAGAUUUCGGUUUUCGUCAGAGUGGCAGACGGGUGAGUAACACGUAAGUGACAGACCUUCCAGUGGGGAAUAACCUCGGGAAACUGGGGAGAAUACCGCAUAACACGCCAGGGGUAGUGCUUUGGCGAGAAAGCCGCAAGGCGCUGGGAGAUGGGCUUGCGUCAGAAGAGGUAGUUGGUAGGGUAAUGGCAGACCAAGCCGAUGACGGGUAGCUGGUCUGAGAGGAUGUCCAGCCACACUGGGACUGAGAUACGGCCCAGACCCAGACGGGAGGCAGCAGCAAGGAAUUUUGCGCAAUGGGCGAAAGCCUGACGCAGCAACGCCGCGUGGGUGAAGAAGGCCUUCGGGUCGUAAAGCCCUUUUGAGAGGGAAGAAGUUCUGACGGUACCUGGCGAAUAAGCCUCGGAGAAAGACGUGCCAGCAGCCGCGGUAAUACGUAGGAGGCGAGCGAGAUCCGGAUAGACUGGGCGUAAAGAGCGCGUGGGCGGCAGAAGAAGUCGGUUGUGAAAUCUCCUGGCAGAACUGGGAGGGGAGAUCCGAAAAGAAUGGGCUUGAGGGCAGCAGAGGGAGGUGGAAUUCCCGGUGUAGUGGUGAAAUGCGUAGAUAUCGGGAGGAACACCAGUGGCGAAGGCGGCCUCCUGGGCUGUUCCUGACGUUGAGGCGCGAAAGCGUGGGGAGCAAACAGGAAGAGAUACCCUGGUAGUCCACGCUGUAAACGAUGGACAAGAGGUAUGGGGGGUAUCGACCCCCUCCGUGCCGAAGAGAACGAGAUAAGUGUCCCGCCUGGGGAGUACGGUCGCAAGAAGAAAACAGAAAGGAAUUGACGGGGGCCCGCACAAGCAGCGGAGCGUGUGGUAGAAUUCGACGCAACGCGAAGAACCAGACCAAGACUUGACAUAUACCUGACAGGCAAAGAAAUUUGCCCUUCCUUCGGGACAGGUAUACAGAUGCUGCAUGGCUGUCGAGAGCUCGUGCCGUGAGGUGUUGGGAGAAGUCCCGCAACGAGCGCAACCCUCGUCGAGAGUUGAUUUCUCUGGCGAGACUGCCAGAGAGAAGGGGAGGAAGGCGGGGAUGACGAGAAGAGAGCACGGCUCAGACGUCUUGGGAGACACACACGAGACAAUGGGUGGUACAAAGGGUUGCCAAGGAGCGAUCCGGAGAGAAUCCCAAGAAAACCACCCCCAGUUCGGAUUGGAGGCUGAAACCCGCCUCCAUGAAGCUGGAGUUGAGAGUAACCGCAGGAGAGCAUACUGCGGUGAAUACGUUCUCGGGCCUUGUACACACCGCCCGAGACGAGAUGGAAGCCGGCAACACCUGAAGUCGAUGUGAGAACCCGCAAGGGAGGCAGUUGCCCAGGGUGGGGCUGGUGACUGGGACGAAGUCGUAACAAGGUAACCGUC